AUGCCCCGUACACGUCCCCACCAGGCUCCGUGACGGCCGGCUUUUGCUUCGUGCAUCGUAAUACUUCUCCUCCACCCCGCCCUCAAACGCCGCGAAAGCUGGCCCUCUCUCCCAUACACCGUUCCCUGUCCAGUGACUCCCCUCUCGCUGAUAAGCAGCGGAACCGUCGACCUCGCAUGGCGCCACUUGGACGAGCUCGCAGCGGUCUCUUUGCCUUCCGUCUUGGUGCUCAGCCACCACUUCCUGCUUCCUUGAUGACGGACGGAGAGGGGGCCGCCGCCGUGCGCGGUGUCGCGGUGCCCGCUGCCUCCGACUCUGUCUUAUGAGGCCAGGCAGUUCCCUCACCCCCCCCGCCUCCUCCAUCCCUGCGAGUGCAGAGCCACAUCUGGCGGUGACAGCGUACGUCACCCGCUACGUGGGGAAGUUAUAGCGAGUCCUCGCUGCUGAUGUGGGCGGCCAGGUCGCGGAGGGCGCGGCGCCGGGGCACCCUGCGAGGCGGGGAGUGUGGGCAGAGCGCGAGGCAGGGGCUGCACUGAGACGGCUGCGUCGGGGCGUUUGCUGCAACGCGUGUGCCUACGGCUGCUUCGCACCACGCGACGGGGCCUGUGGCAGGGCCGGAGGUAGAUGUGCGGGUAACUCAUGUUACAUGGCGGACAGUGUACACGCUGGCGCGAAAACGAAAUGCUGGGCUGCUCCUCUCACUACUGCCUGUGCGUUUUCUGUUCCCUUCUCAUCUUUUGUCUUCUGCUAAUGGUCUACCGUCUACAUUCCUCUGUGCCCCUCUGCGCUCUUCUACGCUGAGAUAUAG
rnacentral:misc_RNA from 1 species